rnacentral:rRNA from 1 species
ACCCGAAACCAUCCCGAACUCGGAAGUUAAGCCCUUUAGCGCCGAUGGUACUGCACGGGCAGCUGUGUGGGAGAGUAGGACGCCGCCGAAA